UGGAUCCAGACUUUGUCAUGGCUCAGGAUGAACGCUAGCUACAGGCUUAACACAUGCAAGUCGAGGGGAAACGAUAUUGGAAGCUUGCUUCCGAUAGGCGUCGACCGGCGCACGGGUGAGUAACGCGUAUCCAACCUGCCCACCACUUGGGGAUAACCUUGCGAAAGUAAGACUAAUACCCAAUGAUAGCUCUAGAAGGCAUCUGAAAGAGAUUAAAGACUUAUCGGUGAUGGAUGGGGAUGCGUCUGAUUAGCUUGUUGGCGGGGUAACGGCCCACCAAGGCAACGAUCAGUAGGGGUUCUGAGAGGAAGGUCCCCCACAUUGGAACUGAGACACGGUCCAAACUCCUACGGGAGGCAGCAGUGAGGAAUAUUGGUCAAUGGACGAGAGUCUGAACCAGCCAAGUAGCGUGCAGGAUGACGGCCCUAUGGGUUGUAAACUGCUUUUAUAAGGGAAUAAAGUGAGUCUCGUGAGACUUUUUGCAUGUACCUUAUGAAUAAGGACCGGCUAAUUCCGUGCCAGCAGCCGCGGUAAUACGGAAGGUCCGGGCGUUAUCCGGAUUUAUUGGGUUUAAAGGGAGCGUAGGCCGGAGAUUAAGCGUGUUGUGAAAUGUAGACGCUCAACGUCUGCACUGCAGCGCGAACUGGUUUCCUUGAGUACGCACAAAGUGGGCGGAAUUCGUGGUGUAGCGGUGAAAUGCUUAGAUAUCACGAAGAACUCCGAUUGCGAAGGCAGCCCACUGGAGCGCAACUGACGCUGAAGCUCGAAAGUGCGGGUAUCGAACAGGAUUAGAUACCCUGGUAGUCCGCACGGUAAACGAUGGAUGCCCGCUGUUGGUCUGAAUAGGUCAGCGGCCAAGCGAAAGCAUUAAGCAUCCCACCUGGGGAGUACGCCGGCAACGGUGCAACUCAAAGGAAUUGACGGA
rnacentral:rRNA from 1 species